UCAGGCGGCCUCUCUUGUGCUCGCUGCCGAGCACGGUGCCGGCUAAAAGGUAGUUUCCUGAGGGCGACCGGGGCGCAAAGCUCUAAAGACGUAAAAAUAGGAGGGGUAACUACAAGAUACACACUGCUCGGUACACGGGUCAUUUCGUAAGACUGUAACCCCCCGGUCUCUCCACGGAACGUCAGCCGGUCACCUGCUCCUUUCUGUCACGUUGCAUUCAGUGUAACCACCAUAAGUCUAGCCGCUGUCCACAGUCAAGCACCACAGUGUGACCACACAACUCUCCGACUAGGCGCUGCCCUGUUCAUAAGCCGAGCUCUGCCGGUGCACACCGGGGGAUCUGCCCGAGCCAUAUUCCCUGACCAGCUUUGUAGAAACGCCUUAUUGUCCUGUUACUUCUCCUGUGGAGAUCCCCUGGUUCCUCCUCCUAGCUCGGUAUAAGCUCUUGUUGGGGGAUGCACACAGCUACCUGCAGCUAUCCUAUGGCCUCCCUCUAUGUGGGUGACCUCCAUCCAGAUGUCACAGAAGCCAUGCUCUACGAGAAGUUCAGUCCAGCUGGGCCUGUGCUGUCUAUACGGGUCUGCAGGGACAUGAUCACCAGAAGAUCCCUUGGUUAUGCUUAUGUCAACUUCCAGCAACCUGCAGACGCUGAGCGGGCUCUGGACACCAUGAACUUCGAUGUGAUCAAAGGAAAACCUAUUCGGAUUAUGUGGUCCCAGCGUGACCCAUCUCUUAGGAAGUCAGGAGUGGGCAAUGUCUUCAUAAAGAAUCUCGACAAAUCAAUUGACAACAAAGCACUUUAUGACACCUUUUCUGCAUUUGGCAACAUUCUUUCCUGUAAGGUGGUGUGUGAUGAGAAUGGCUCCAAGGGAUAUGCUUUUGUGCACUUUGAAACACAAGAUGCUGCGGAUAGAGCCAUAGAGAAGAUGAACGGCAUGCUGCUCAACGACCGCAAAGUGUUUGUUGGUCGUUUUAAAUGCAGAAGGGAGAGGGAAGCAGAACUUGGAGCUAAAGCCAAAGAAUUCACCAACGUUUACAUCAAGAACUUUGGGGAAGAUAUGGAUGAUGAACGACUGAAGGAGACCUUCGGCAAAUACGGGAAGACUCUGAGCGUUAAGGUGAUGACUGACCCGAGUGGCAAGUCCAAAGGGUUUGGCUUUGUCAGCUUUGAAAAACAUGAAGAUGCCAAUAAGGCUGUAGAUGACAUGAACGGAAGGGAUGUCAAUGGAAAAGUGAUGUUUGUUGGCAGAGCACAAAAAAAGGUUGAGCGCCAAGCAGAGCUGAAAAGGCGGUUUGAACAGUUAAAGCAAGAGCGGAUUAGUCGCUAUCAGGGUGUGAAUUUGUAUAUUAAAAAUCUGGAUGACACUAUUGAUGAUGAAAAGCUAAGGAAAGAGUUUUCUCCAUUUGGAUCCAUCACAAGUGCCAAGGUUAUGCUGGAGGAUGGCCGUAGCAAAGGAUUUGGAUUUGUUUGCUUUUCUUCCCCAGAAGAAGCCACUAAAGCAGUCACUGAGAUGAAUGGGAGAAUUGUAGGGUCUAAACCACUCUAUGUGGCAUUGGCUCAAAGAAAGGAGGAACGGAAAGCGCAUCUUACCAAUCAGUAUAUGCAGCGUAUAGCAGGAAUGAGGGCUCUUCCUGCCAACACCCUUAUCAACCAAUUUCAGCCAGCUCCUGGAGGAUACUUUAUGCCUGCUGUUCCGCAGGCUCAAAACAGACCUACAUACUAUGCACCCAAUCAUAUGACCCAAGUACGGCCAGGCCCUCGAUGGCAGCAAGCAGGACGUCCUCAAGGCUUCCAACCCAUACCUAAUGCACUGCGCCAGAGUGGCCCACGUCAGUCACUGCGCCAUCUACCACCUUCAAGUACUCAGGGCACCCGUGGAAUCCCCAACGUAGCCCAGAGAGUUGGGGUAUCUUCUGCUACUCAGACCUUAGGUCCACGACAACAAGUCUCUUCUACUCCCCCUCGAGCUGUGCCUCCGUACAAGUACACACGUUGCCCACUCCCUGGUGUUCAGCCUCUACAAGAGAACGUCUCUUUCCUCUUAUCCAAGCCAUGCACCCCUCACUAGCGGGUAAAAUAACAGGAAUGCUGCUAGAAAUUGAUAACUCAGAGCUUCUACACAUGUUGGAAUCCCCAGAGUCUCUGCGCUCCAAGGUUGAAGAGGCUGUUGCAGUUUUACAAGCUCACCAAGCUAAGAAAGACGCUGCUCAGAAGGUGGUGAUCGUUGCUGCUACCUCUUGAACCAGGGUAAC